UACGGGGGGGGCAAGCGUUGUUCGGAAUUACUGGGCGUAAAGGGCUCGUAGGUGGCCAACUAAGUCAGACGUGAAAUCCCUCGGCUUAACCGGGGAACUCCGUCUGAUACUGGAUGGCUUGAGGUUGGGAGAGGGAUGCGGAAUUCCAGGUGUAGCGGUGAAAUGCGUAGAUAUCUGGAGGAACACCGGUGGCGAAAGCGCUCUGCUAGGCCGCAACUGACACUGAGGGACGAAAGCUAGGGGAGCGAAUGGG
rnacentral:rRNA from 1 species